UACGGGAGGCAGCAGUAGGGAAUAUUGGGCAAUGCUCGCAAGAGUGACCCAGCCAUGCCGCGUGCAGGAAGAAGGCCUUCUGGGUUGUAAACUGCUUUUGGAAGGGAACAAAACGGGCAUGCGUGCCAACUUGAGUGUACCUUCAGAAUAAGCACCGGCUAACUCCGUGCCAGCAGCCGCGGUAAUACGGAGGGUGCAAGCGUUGUCCGGAUUUAUUGGGUUUAAAGGGUGCGUAGGCGGCUUAUUAAGUCAGGGGUAAAAGACUGCAGCUCAACUGUAGCAGUGCCUUUGAUACUGAUGAGCUUGAGUACAGAUGAGGCUGGCGGAAUGGGUGGUGUAGCGGUGAGAUGCAUAGAUACCAUCCAGAACACCGAUUGCGAAGGCAGCCGGCUAAACUGUAACUGACGCUGAGGCACGAAAGCGUGGGGAUCGAACAGGAUUAGAUACCCUGGUAGUCCACGCUGUAAACGAUGAAGACUCGAUGUUAGGGAUAUACUCUUAGCGUCCAAGCGAAAGCGUUAAGUCUUCCACCUGGGGAGUACGCCCGCAAGGGUGAAACUCAAAGGA
rnacentral:rRNA from 1 species